CCAGACUCCUACGGGAGGCAGCAGUGAGGAAUAUUGGUCAAUGGGCGGGAGCCUGAACCAGCCAAGUCGCGUGAGGGACGACGGUCCUAUGGAUUGUAAACCUCUUUUGUCGGGGAACAAAGGCGCCCACGGGUGGGCGGAUGAGUGUACCCGAAGAAAAAGCAUCGGCUAACUCCGUGCCAGCAGCCGCGGUAAUACGGAGGAUGCGAGCGUUAUCCGGAUUUAUUGGGUUUAAAGGGUGCGUAGGCGGACAGUCAAGUCAGCGGUAAAAAUGCGGUGCUCAACGCCGUACAGCCGUUGAAACUGGCAGUCUUGAGUGGGCGAGAAGUAUGCGGAAUGCGUGGUGUAGCGGUGAAAUGCAUAGAUAUCACGCAGAACUCCGAUUGCGAAGGCAGCAUACCGGCGCCCGACUGACGCUGAGGCACGAAAGCGUGGGUAUCGAACAGGAUUAGAUACCCCGGUA
rnacentral:rRNA from 1 species